AAAAUUUCACUAAUGUUAAUUUCACUAAUGUCAUUAACUGAGAAACAGGGAAGGAAGUGGCUUGCCAUAGCUGGAGGUGGUGGAAGCUUUUGUCCUGGAACAUCAGUUUCUCUCUCCAAGCUACAACAGACAAAAUGACAGCCUGUCAGCCUUUCUUGAGGAGCGGUACCCAAGACUGGAUGUGCCUCUGCACUGAGGCAUUACUAAUACUGAGUACUGUGAAAGGACCUGCAAGAUGUCUUGCAAUGAACCAUUGGAAACUACUCUCAGAGUGCAGAUUCCAACCAGAUUUGUGUCAUGACUUCAGCCAGGGCAUUCUUGCACUCAUGAAUCUCUUGUGGGACAAUGUCAGGAGCCUCAGUGACAUUGAGGAGGGAUGGAAGAUGGUAAAUGUGACAACAAUCUCUGAGAAGGUCCCCAGGAGCGGAGUGGAGAACUGCAGACUGUCACACUGGAGUCUGUACUGAGAAAUUAGAAGCUCUGGCCUCAAACUGCUCUGGGUAUGUGCUCUGAGAGCUGUGUGGGCAAUGAAGACAGUAGCUGAAGCAAUUACUGAAGCAUUAGUGACAACCCUGGAAGCUCUUGGAAGGCAGAGAUGAUGCUGUUCUACUGCAGUGAAGCAUCAGAAGUCCCUGGCUGUCAGCACAGCCCUGUCAGUACGGGGAACGGGGGAGGAUGUGGGCACAGGAGAUGUCGGAUGAAUGCCCCAAAGUGCUGCUUGGGGCCACCAUUUUAUGCUUCAGAUUAAGCUGCAAAGAGCAAGUGACCUUUUUUCCCAGAGAGCCUGAAAGAGCAGGAAUCGGAUUUUGCCUUCACUUACCCCUUAAGGAGCUGCCAGAGGAGGAAAGGGCUGUAUCUGCCAGUUCCCUGCAGCCCUUGCCGGGGAGCCGCACCACAGUGUGAAGGAAGCGCUGAGCAGGAAUCAGGCAUGCUGGCAUCAUGCUGGGUUAGUUUCCUCUUGGAAGUGAAAAGUGGAGCAAGCCACAACUGAGACAAGGUGACUUUCAGUUUAUUCAAUGCAUUGUUUACUUAAUGCAUGGUAACAGAUCUCUGGAGCAGACUUUGCCCUGCUCCUCAUCCUCAACUUAUCCCACAGCUCCUACAUCAGAAAAAGCUUGUUGCUGGGCUGGUGGAGCUAAAAGGGGGCAGCCAACAGCCAUGGCUGUGUUGCUUCAGCAGCUCCUAUUUCUUAGUAGGAUGUAAGUGCCAGAAGGGGCUGUUUCUCUGCCUUCACAGAUGCUCCCUUCAGCCCAGCUUGCUCUUUACUCCGUUUCAGCAAACACGGCUCUGGCUGGUGAAGUCCUUGUUCCAGCAUGUUUCGUAAAUAUUGCCGUUAAAUGGAGGGUAGAAAGCAUUUAAUUCAGGGGGAGGAUAGUUGGACACCUGGAAAGACAAGUGCACCCCAAACUUAACUGGAAGUUGAACAGUGAUCACUGCAGAGACUGAGCUGUGCGAGGGCAGAAAACCCAAGUGGCUUUUUUGUGCCCACAUUGUUCACACAAGCUGGGGAGCAAAGUCUGGCAACAUUGACCACACAGUUGGGCCUUGCCCACCUCUGCACUUAAGUCUCAUCUUGUUACUCUUUAAAAGAAGUCUCUAAAAAUACUUCCCUUAUAAGGAAGCCUUUUAGAGAAGUCUCUAAAAGAUGUCCUUUACUAGGAUAAUGAGAUGAGGUAUAAGUGCAGAGGUGGGAGGGGGCAGGCUGCACCAGAGAAGUUGCCUGAGAGGGGCAAGACCCAUCCAGAGCGUCCAAGGCAGGGACUGACAGUGGCUGCAAGACCUCACUCUGCAGCUCAAAUGAGUUGUUUGAAGAUAAAAAUGCUGCCCAGGGUUUCUUUCCCCCAAUCCAGUCUCUGCAGUGAUUGCUGUUCUUAAGAGCCCUGGCUGCUGGAGCAGAGUGCAUGAACAGACCUGACCUGUGUCCCAAAAGGGAAUCCCUGUGCAACUUUUGGGGUUGUUUGCAGUUAGUACAGAAACUGGCUAGUGCAGCAUGGCUCACGGGCAGGACACUGCUCUGCUGAGGGAGCUGGCACCAGGACAGAACCGCCAAGGCUGUGUCCGUCUGGGGUGCUGCUACCAGCUCAUGCAGCUGAGGUCAAAACAUGUCUCUUCUUCCUACCCAAUAAGUCUGUUCAGGCUGAAUCACCACUUUGCUGUUGAGAAAAGCUCAAAUAUAAAACUGCAUGAACUUACUUGUGUCUCCUACUACCUAGACAUCCCAAAGAGGCAGCUGCUUCUUUACCUACCUCCUCAGGGACAGGCAGCCAGUACCUACUGGGAAUGCCAGCCAGGCAGGAUCACAGAAGCUUCUUCCCCAGGUAGGGGCACUGGAGAGGGGGCUGCUCAUCCUGUCUCUGGAGAGAAGGUGGGGCUGUGUGCAUGUCAAGGCUGUCUGGAUGUAUUUCUGCUAUCUCUUGCCCAGUGCAGGAUGUGCUACAAAGGAAACAAAAGUGCUUCAUUCCCCUCAUACUGCCUCUCUUCCUUGGGCACCCAGCCCUUGCUCCAGACUGCUCUCGGGACUGAAGCAAGGAGUUUGCUGGGAAAAUGAGAUGUGAGGGGCACCAGCUUCUUCCCAGCAACCUUUCCCUGCUAAUAACUUCAGGGAAACCAAAACAGUAAGAAUAACCUGGCUUUGGCUGCUAAAAAACAGGUAAAGCAAAGAAGUGAAAAGCUAUGAUGGAGAUCAGGGAGAUCCUUCCCCUCCUCCUUUGCUCUUGCACACAAACAAUGGCUGCCUUGGGUUCCAGUCCUGCAAGGAACCUGCCCUGGCUGGGGAAGGCAGCCCCAGAAAGCAGCAUAAGGAAGUUUUAUUUAUUUGUUCUUUGCUUACCACUUUCUCUGACCUCCAGUGCUGGCUCUGCAGUGAAAGCAGGACCUGUACCAGGCAGGAUGUAGGCUCCAGGAGGUCACAGCAGAAAGGGCCACGUCCACAGGAGAUGCCUGGACCCACUGGCCACACAGCCCUGACAUCUGAGAUGAGUUUUAACACAGCUUUAAAUGGUGUGAUUCACAUUGCUGAUGCAAUCUUCUCUUGCUGCAGAACAAAACCCUUUGCACCAGAGCAGCCUCAUGUGCCAUCCCUGGGCAGAAAGAGUCCUAUAUCUGUCCUUUUGCCUCCAUUCCUGGCAUCCAGGUUUUUCAGAUGCAUUUCACGCUUACCAGCAGGCAAGUCAAGAGCUGAAGCACGGCUGCAGCCACAGAGUGCUUCAGCAAUGCAAUUUCCUCUAAUCACUUACAUGAUGAUUGCAGGAGUUUUGCCUCCCUGUUUGUAGCAGCAUGAAGCAGGUGAGUGAGGAAGGCACAUGGCCAAAAGCAUUGGCUAGCUCAGCACCAGUUGUGUGUAGGUUUCCAAGCAUGGCCACAUUUUAAGUGCUGUUCUACCCGAAGGGUGGGAACAUUGUUGAUUAACAUCUGCUUUUAGGGCACCAGAAAUCACAGCCAGACUUACUUUCCUGGGAGAUACAUUUGUGCAGGUGGGCUCUGAGAGAAGCAGCAAGAGGUGCUGGUGCAGCCUUGGGUGCUGGAAAUGGCUGUGAAAGCUUCAUCAGCAAGAAGGCAGGGCCUGAAACAUCCAUGAGCUGGUGGAGGAAUGGGGAAAUCAGGAUCAGCUGGAGACGGUGUGAGCUCCUGAUUAUUGCAUUGCUAAAAGAGGCUGAUUUUAUCUUAUUUCACAGUGCAUCUACAACCUGUGAGAGUCUUCACAAUGGCUCAUUUGGAUCAAAUCUCAGGGAGGAUUUAAAGAGCAAUGUUUGCAGGCUGGAGAUACGCUGGCUUCCUAAAUACUGGUUACACAUGGGACAGCUUGAUCUGAAGAGAAACCCCUCGGAACACCAUGGCUUCCCCUAGAGCUAGGGAACUAGAAUAUUCCCAGGUCUGUCCUACCCGUGCUGGCUGCUGAGGAAGUUGCCUUUUGUGCCUUAAAAUCUUGUACUAGCUUGACAUUAUCAUUGUGCAUUUAACUGGUCGAGACAUGCUUCUGUCUGCACUCUCCAUUUAGACCUGCCUUCAGUUUGGAAGGAUUUUUCUUAUGCCUACUCUACUCUUCUCUUCAAUUGUACCAGCUCUUUUGGAUCCUUAGUGUUCUGGACAAAUGAUACACAUUUCUUCUGACACUUCCAUGUGUUAUUUUUAAACAGUUUUUUGUGCUGCUUGCCAACAUUUUAUCCUUACAGUUCUUUGAAUUUUGUAUGAAAAACCCCUAUGAACAAACUGUAUACAAAUCAGAAGAUCUUUUUUUAAAGUCAGACAUCAUCUUAAGGGAUUUGGGGUUUUAUGAUCCUGCUAAGAUACUGAAUUCAAGUACAUUUUGGUCACUAUUGUAGAAUAGCCCUUUCUUAAUAGCAGUUUGAACCUCAAAUGCUGAAUUUGGCCAGAACUGCCUAAAGAACUGCUUUUCCCAUUGGAAAUAGUUUAAUUCAGUUCUCAAAAUUCAGUUACUAAAUUUUGGUAUGGCCCAAAUGCCACCCAGGCCCAGGUGCCAAAGAGCUUGGGUGGCUCUGGGCCUCCUGCCUGGAGUCACGUGCUGCUUAGGAACAGCAAGGAGUCAGGUAAGAAACUAUCAGAGUCCUGAGGAGGGACUGCAGCAAGCUGGCUUCUUGUGUUUAACAGGAUAUAAUAUAUACGUAGGGAAAUUAAGAACUGCAAAUGAAUAAAUUGUACCUAAAGAAAGUGAAAACUGCCCCAAUUUAAAAAAAAAAAAAAAGUAGGACAGCUGUGCUUUUAUACAAGAACUUGUUCUUUCUUUUAUGACGUUUAUUUCAAGUCAUGCAAACCCUUCAGAGCAGCUCUAAUGCCCAGUGGAGUUCUCCAACCUAAAUGACUUGUCGUCAGUGUAAGAAACAAAGAUAAUAUAAUUUGAAUACUGGAUGCAACAAUGUAAGCUGCUCUAGAGGCUGAUUCUCCUUGCUCCAAGUGGGAAUGAUGGUUCCGAACACAGUCACCGGAAUAGACUGGGAAGCAGACAUCUCAUUUGUGAAGAAAUGGCCAAAAUCUCAGCUUCCCCCCCUCUCAUUUGUUUCUUCCUGGAAAGAAAAAAACAAAACAGUUGCAUAAAGGCACUGCUAUUUCAAAGCAAAUUUUAAAACAUUUCUGAUUUGCAAGUGGCAUUUCAGCAUUUUCAUGAGAAUAAAAUGCUACUAUGGUGCUGUGUUUAAAUAUUUCAUUCCAGCUCCCUGAACAAACUUAAAAUCUUAUUAUAAGUCGUUUUGACAUAAAAGUGUGCUUCUCUGUGGUGCCCGUAGCUUAGACAUCUCCAGCUUCAAGCGCAGCUGCAGGAGCCCUCCCUGCUCAGGGCUGAUCAAAGAAAAACCACGCUGCCACCCCGGAGCCGCUGCUUGUCCUCAGCACCCAGCCCAGGAGAAUAAACACAUCCUGAACGUCCCGAGUGCUUCUUCCCUAGGGGUGAUGCAGUCUACGCAAAAUACACGUUGCUGUUGUAACCCUGCUGUGAAAAGGUUGAGUGAGUUUAGCAAACAAAAAUAACUUGCCUUCAAAUUGUGCUGAAACAAAACAUCAGCCAGCACUGGCUGCUCAAUUAAACAGUUUGUCGUGCAGCCUUUGGAGAGGAAAAUGCCUAAAAAAAGGAUUUCAGGGUACAUACAUACUGUGUGGAAAGAAUGUUUCAUGAGGAUUUUUUCAAACCUCCCUGCAAUUCCCAUGCACUGCCAUUCCUUGCCAUGCAACAUGUGUGUUGCCCUCAAAUUUGGAUAUGGCUGCGUGCGACUGUGCUGUGACAACUGCCAGGAUGUACGUGGGGCCACAGGGGGUGUAUGUGUACAUUUAGUUAUUUGGGCGGGUAGUCCCGAUGUGGGAGCAAGGAGCCAUUUUUUCCCUCCUAGAGGCUUGAGCACAUCUCUUUUGGGAGAUGCUGGCUCUCCUCUUCCUCAGCGUGGGCAUUUAAUCCCCCUGAUACCCAUGGUCACCCUGCUGGUGGGAGGGGUCCUGCUUUACCUGUCAGCGCUGGCUUUCUGCUGUGAGCACUCCACUGUUGCGUCCCACUGUUGCAACUGAAAUGGUGAUGUUGGCCGUGCACUGGGGCUCCCAGCUCCUCGUGUUUAUUGCCUUGCUCCUCGUGGUUAUGUGCAAUGCUGGUUUUGUUGGGGCUGAGAUCUCAAUGCCACAAUGGUGGCAGCUCUCCCAGGGUCUCUAAGGACCUGUUUUGGGAUUCCUAGCAUCCUGACUCCAUUGCCUGACUGCAGAAGCCCACGCCUGUGGUUGGUGAGAUGCUUACAUAUUUCUUCUGGUGUCUCUGCCCUUGAUAACACCCUGGUCUGUGGGGCGGGUAUAAGGCUCAGCCUGCAGAAGCCGAAGUCAUGGCGGUGGGUGUCUCGGGGCAGGACACAUGCUGGGACACGUAGAGGAGGAUGGGGUUACUUGCUGUCUCACAUACGGCGCCACCCGCCAGCCUUACAGAGCCUGUAUGAGCACUGUGUGUUUUGCAUCUCCACCAUUCUUGCUGAGUAGCUUUGAUGGUUCUUGAUGCAUGAGUGAGGCCCCAUCCAGCGCACGGGGAGGGUACAAGCAAGUGGAAAUCGGGGCUUAUGUUUGCCACUGAUAAAUGUAUUAGUCUUCAUAGCAGAAUUUAAACUACAACCCCUUUUCAGGCACCUCAGCACUCCGUUAUUUUGCAGGCCUUGUAAGAGAAUGUGAUUUUGCCUUUUAACUGGAGUGUAUCUUAUGCUAAGCAGUGAGAUUAAGCGUAGGGAUCCAAAAGAAGUUGCUGAAUGGCAGAAUUGCCUUUAUAAAUAACAUUAAUAAUUUAUCCGAUGCAGGGUUUUUUUGGGUAAAUGAAAUACCUGCCUCUGUAUAAAGCCCACUGAAUAGGAACACAUCUCCGCUUUUACGAGGCUUGGAUUAAAGAAGGGAAACGCUAAGGGGCUUAUCUUCGCUUCAAUUUGCAGCCCUUCCGGCUAAUGGCAAACUCAUUUAAGAAGCUCCUGUGUUUGUGCCAGCUCUGCCUUUAUUCUCGGUGCUGGAGCUCGGCUGCAUUCCUCACCACAGCACGGGAGAGAGCAGGGAGGAAGCAGUUUGUUUUCUUGACCUCGGAUUACCAGACAAAAGCUAGCAAGAAUAAUUUUCCUUGGAGUCCUCCCUAUUGUGGGUUGCUCAAAGCGGCUGCACAGCGGCUGUGGGGAAGCUGGCGGUUUGGGGACCCCGUGUGUGAAAGAGGAUGGGGCUGGUGGCUGAACGGGGAUGCGUUGAAAGAGCAUCUGUCAUCUUUCUUUUGGGACGCCUGCAUCCUCCUGCAUGGACAGUUGUGAAAUGGCAAAAUUCAUCCUCCGCAAAGCCCACGAGCUGUCACUUCUCAGCUCUUCUUUUAUGCUGGUAAAAAUCAAUUGCUUCAAAGUUCACUGAAGGUGAAGGCAACAUUUGCUUUCCAUUCAGAGCUAAGCGGGCCAUCUUCGAGAGCAAAUGCUCUCAAAAGGGAGAAUAGCAAAAAUCAGCAGAAAAAUUCUCUGAAUAAUUUGGACUAGGAAAGGAAAAAGCAAUUUGCUCCCAGUCAUUCCACAGACAAAAGUAUGAAUAAAAAAAUCAUGAGCUAUUUACCCUGCCUGGACUGUUUGCAUGAGUUUUAUGCUAUUCCAGUUUUGCUUCACCAACCCCCAAAGACCUUAUCACUGGAUCCUCAAAGGCACUUAAAGCAAGCAUGCUUUUUUUCUCCCUUUUUUUUUUUUUUUUCCAUGCUGGAUCAGCAGGGACCAAAAGCAGAGGAAACAAUAGGGGUCCUAAAUCUGAACCAUGCUGAUGCUGGCAUGUGCAUUGACCUGGAUCAGAGACCCAGACUCUGGCCGGCCAACUCUACCAACAUAGAAAUUUUAUCCAAAAUAGUAUUACAAGCUUGGGUGCUUUGCAUUCAGAUAGUGAGGCUGUGGCAAAGGCACGGCGGGUAUUUACAAUCUACUUUAGAAAAACCUGAUACAUGUUGUUAGCUAUUCUGUUGUAAAAGCAGUUUACGUUACCCACAUCUGUUGCUUUAGGUGGCCCAGCCAGACGGCUGGUGCUGCUCGAAGUGCCAAAGACCACGGUGCUGCAAUGAGGAGAGGAAAGAGAAAGGUGGAUGAAGACCUCGUAAGCUUUAUUAAAACCCACCAAAAACGUCAGGAGAUUUGGGGAUUACGCUGUGUAAUUACAUUACCUUAAGAAACAAAGUUUAGUGAAAAUUUCCUGUUUUGUGUUGCCAGCACUUUUCAGCCAUUAGUAACACAUAACUUCUCAUUGUCUUUUCCCGAGGCACAGAUGGGCUAAUUUUCAGCUACCUGAUAAUUACACAUUGUUUGAAACUGUAUCAAAAGCUUCUGUUCCUGCAUUCUUCCAGUAGCUGUUCUUACAGUUCACAAAGUCCCUUGGUUGGGGCUUGCAAAGGUCCCCAUCCAUCGGUCCGUCUGUCCGUCUGGAGGGCCAGGUGCAGAGCAGCAAAACCUCCACCUUCACCCACAGGCGUUGCAGGCUGCUUGUACGGAUUUGCACCAUUCCCAACCCGGGUGGAUUGCCUGAAGCUCCAUCAAAAGCAUCGUCUCGGCUCAAUGCCAGGAUCUGAGGGGAGCAGUUUGCUGUUGUGCACCAUCUUUGGUCUCUUCUGGGAACUGCCAGUUCUCAUACGUUUCCUCGCCACGUAUUUCCAUCCAAGAGAGCUUCUCCACCGCUUCCCUGAUCUCUGCCAGAUGCUUGUUAUUUUGUUACUUCUAUUCUUCCGUCUUGCUGUGCUGGUGGGAAGAGACACUCAGGUAAUACAUAGCUUCUAUUGCCAAAUCUCUUGGGGUGCAAGUUAAGGACUAGCCUGAUAAGGCUGCAAAACUGAAGGGGGGGGUGGGAAUCACUGAAAGCUCCUAAACCCCUCCUGGCAGUGGUCCCAGGUGGAACUGCCUGAGUGUUGCGGUGGAGGGGCCGUUGCUUGGGCAAAAAGAUCCAAAUUGGCCAGUUGGUCCAUGUUGGGCAGUAUGUGGGAGGGGGGCUCUGCAGCAGGACCCCCCAGACCCUGGCAUCUCCCAGAGCCAUUUCUGAUGUCCUGUGUGCACAUGGGGCUGGGAUGAAAAAGCAGCUCUGCUCAUGCCUCGGUUCUCCAGGCGACAUUCGUAUCCUCGGCUCAGGAGAGCCAAAGCAUUGCCCACCUCCCUAGCCUGGUUGCCAGCGCUGGGCUGGAGGCUCGGUGCAGUGGCACUGGUCACCUGCCUGAUGGUCACCAGGCUGGCCCGAGUAUCUUCUCGUUUCUCCUGUGGCCAUUUGGAGACAAGUGCUGCUGGGAAGGCGGCUCCUGCAAGGAGGAGUUUGAGGUGCCCUUGGGGGCAUUUCACAUUCAGAUCCUCAACGUUUCUGAGUGCAGUUUUGUUUCGAGUUUUACAAAUGCUCUUCUGCUUGCUUGCUUGCCUCAAGUAAUGAGGCAGCGAGAUAAAAGACAAGGCCACAGAAGGUUGUUAAAAAAUUACUUGCAAAUUAAUGUGAGGACAAGGUGUAUGAGUUAAUAUCGUAUAAAGACCCUUGAAAUCGGUAUACAUGUGUGCACCCUCCGAGCACUGACAUUCGCAGGCAGAACUACACUGGUAAACCGAGCCCAAGGGGCUUGAUUAACAGGAAAUGUUCAGAAUGCCAAUUAGAGCAAAGUUUACCGAACAAAUUGUUUGCACUUGUACCCUAGAACCAUCAUGAAUUUUAAUUCAGCAUGGAUUUAUGUGGCUGAAACAAUAAUUAAAGAUACAUGAACGCCUCACGUUCACGGGACUCCCCCACAGCUGCGCUGUAGUUUUAGGUGGGGAAGGGAGCGAAGAGCCCCUUUGGGCAGGGUCUGCUCUCACUUGGGAGGUGCAGGAGGCUUUUCCCCAUGGAGAUAGAAGCAGGUUCCCAAGUACUGAGCUCACCGAUUUGUCUUUGAUUUCUUUUUUCUUUUUCUUUUCUUCUUCAUUUAUGUAAUCUGAGCAAGAAUGAUCCAUGGGAUGUUUUCCUCAAUAAAUAAUGGCUUGUCUUUUCCUGCCUGCCGCUUCUGGUGGCUCUGAAAUGUUAAAUCAUCUCCUUGGAUAUCCCAAGGCUGGAGCCUGGCCCUGUGCUCUGCCUGCAGCCCUGGAGGGGACACAGGGAUCCCCUCUUUCCUUAUUCCUGCUCCUGCUCUGCCAGUCCCAGGUUUGGCCAUGGGGGAAGAGCCCUGUAUGCCACCGUAACGCCAGGAGCAGCUUUGCUGGAGGAGAAAGUGGUGCUACUGUACAGCAUCGGGGAAAAGUCACAAUUGAGCAGUGCGAUGUAUAUGUAUGCCUUCAUUUGAAUUCUUCUCUCCCUCUCCUCGUGCUGGUAAAUAAGUUACACAUAUUUUUAGAAGAAGUUAUUUUCUGUCACUGCACUUUUAAAUAUCAAGCUCCUGGAGAGAAGUCUUCAGAUAGUUUAAGGUCAGUCAGGCUUCAAGGAAGAAGUACGGAGGUGGGGAAUAAAAGCGGCUGUUGGGCUGUGGUCCAGGCUAAACCCAGGCUGUGGUCUAAAGGAUGGGCCAGCACGAGCAUCCCGCACAGACGCAGCAGCCAGGGGGCCAGGGGCAUUGCUCUCCCUGUACUUCAGCAGUUUCCCUCUGUUAUGGAAUAGCUAAAAAGCUUUGACAAAAAAAGCCGGUGGCUGAAAAUUAUCUGGCCUGUUAGCUCAGGAAUACUGAUGAAUAAUGCAUACAUCCAAAGGUCAGUUUACAAAUGAUUAAUUAACCUUAAGAGAGGUUAUCUUCUUUGGCGACAUCCGUUGUCCUAAAUGGCUUAAUCAUGUCUGCACAGGAUAAUGUGUUUGAAACAAUUCCUUGGGAAAUCGAGGGAUCAUGGAGCAAGUGCUGGACCCCUGCGUGGGUCAUGGUAGAGACGGGCCAGCAGCAGGCACGGGGACUGCAACAGGUCUCCAGGCUUUGCUGUGCUGUGCGUGGUGUAAGGCAGGCUCAAACAUCACUUACUGGAGCCCGGUGCCUGCUCACGUGCAUGCUGAGCUGUGUCUGGGAGGGUGCAGAAAUUGCACCUUUGCUGGGGUAAACAGUUCGGGCACCUGCUUCCCCGCUUUGACAUAGGAGCACCGCUCUCUUGCCAGAGAGCUGCUCCGGGUGCCUCCCGCUGCGACUAAUGGCAGCUGCACUCAGUGGGCAAACCGGCCGUUAGUCCAAGGGCUUUUUGCAUUUGUUAUCAGUGAUUUGUUACGUGCAUCUAUUAAUAAAGUGCUCCUAAAAAGCA